rnacentral:rRNA from 1 species
AGUGGGGGAUAGCCCGGGGAAACCCGGAUUAAUACCGCAUACGUCCUACGGGAGAAAGCAGGGGAUCUUCGGACCUUGCGCUAUUGGAUGAGCCUAAGUCGGAUUAGCUAGUUGGUGGGGUAAAGGCCUACCAAGGCGACGAUCCGUAGCUGGUCUGAGAGGAUGAUCAGCCACAUCGGGACUGAGACACGGCCCGAACUCCUACGGGAGGCAGCAGUG